rnacentral:rRNA from 1 species
UUGGAGGGCAAGUCUGGUGCCAGCAGCCGCGGUAAUUCCAGCUCCAAUAGCGUAUAUUAAAGUUGUUGCAGUUAAAAAGCUCGUAGUUGAACUUCGGGGUCUACCCAUUGGUCAGGCUUAAUUGUCUGUACUGGUGAGAUGGAUCUCUACCUUCUGAGGAACUUUCAUGCAUUUAUUUGGUGUGGUUGGAAAUCAGGACUGUUACUUUGAAAAAAUUAGAGUGUUUAAAGCAGACUAUCGUCUGAAUACAUUAGCAUGGAAUAAUGAAAUAGGACGGACUGAUUCUAUUUCGUUGGUUUCUAGGAUCACCGUAAUGAUUAAUAGGGAUAGUUGGGGGCAUUAGUAUUCAAUUGUCAGAGGUGAAGUUCUUGGAUUUAUUGAAGACUAACUACUGCGAAAGCAUUUGCCAAGGAUGUUUUCAUUAAUCAAGAACGAAAGUUAGGGGAUCGAAGACGAUCAGAUACCGUCGUAGUCUUAACCAUAAACUAUGCCGACUAGGGAUCGGACGAAGUUAAUUUUAUAAUGACGCGUUCGGCACCUUACGGGAAACCAAAGUGUUUGGGUUC